rnacentral:lncRNA from 1 species
AUUUGUAGUCAUAAUUUCUCCAAACAGGUUAAGGCAAACAUGAGAAUCAGCAUAUUAAUGUGCUGUGUUUCAAAUUAGAAUUAUAAACAUACUUUCCUCAUUGGAGGCCUAAUCUGCUAAGAAGAAGCCAGAUGUUUAAUGACAAAACCAUUAUUCAGGAGGACCUAUCAAAGUAAAACAAAUUGUUGUUGUUUGAGUGGAGGGGGAAAACCUGCUUUGUGCAAGAAAUGUGGAAAACCUGCUUGGAGUGGAUUCUCGCUUAUGUAGGAAUUUUGCCUGCCUUUUACUGCUGCCCCAUAACAAGAUUUCUCCCAGAAACAUCAUUCAGCAAACAUGAGUCCUGUUCUCUGAGGACACAACAGUUCAGGUUGACUCAUGCUAGCCUCGUGGUGCCAUGUUUUUGUCACUUGUGUGAAGAGGUGUUUGAGGGAAGCCAUGAUGAGGCAUUCACUCUGUCCUCCUGCCCUGCAAACCAUCCUUUUGGUGAUUGACAGCUAUCAGGAGCUGGAUUUAUGAGUUCUAUGGCCCUGAGAGGACAAACCUCUGAAAAGUGAUGUCACCCGUGAACCUAUAAGCCAAGAACAAGAGUGAUAAUAAUGCAAAUGGUGAUGAUGACAGUUUCCAUUGUGAGCCACCUACUGGGUGCCAGUUCACAUGGAUCCUGAAGUCACAAGAUUUUCUGCUAAAGCUGCACUUGAAAUCUUUAGUCCUAAUAAAAUUUGGAGUCGGUGAGGUGAAAUUCUCAGUGGAGAGAGAGACCUGGUUAUUUUGCUGAUCAUGCAGGU